ensembl:lncRNA
CUGAAAGUCAACCUUAUUGUACUUGCGCUGGCUUUAUAUAGCCUUUAGGUCCCCUUAUGGUCUGUUUAAAAUAUUUUCAGUUUUUUUCCAAGGUGUGGGUAUUUCCCAGCUGUAACUCAAUGCCAAAAUAGCACAAUUUCUGCCAGGUAUGCAAACUUAUGUGCGCAUUUGUAUAACCACUAACACUAGCUAGAUGUGCAUGACUCUUACUGAAUGAACCAAAUGCAGCUGUACAAGUCAACUGCAUAUUGUUAUCUAGUCAAUCGUGCCGUGGGGUUAGAUUAGGGUUGCCACCUUCUAAGUGGAAAAAUAAGGGACACCUUGCCAGUGGUCCCAAACCUGGGGGACACAAAUGAAGCAGGGUCUGGGGGUCCUCCCCAAUGAGUGUCAGAUGCUUCAUUCCCUGCAUUCUGGUGAAUUUGGUCUUUUAUGCAUCAUUUUCAAAGUCCUCUGCUACUGUGAACUUGAAUAUAAUGGAGAUAGAGUAAAUAAGAGUAAAGAACAUUUGCAUCAAUUAUAUUAAGGAUUAAAACAUCAGAUCAUAUACAUGGGCAAGAUGUUUGGUCUUUCAAAAUAAACAAUUUAGAAUAUUUAGAAGAAGCAAGGACCCACCCUCUAGGAAAGAUGAUGUAGCCUAGUUUUGUCUGUUGCUGAUCCCAUGUUCUGGAAUAGUUUUCCAUCCCACAUUAAGUCCCGUUCCACCAUUGACAAUUUUGAAGAGAGAUGAUGUGAUGAAUUUCCUCCGGGAGCUUAAUCCUCGAGGGUGUGAGAACAGAGCACGCAGAAGGUUUACAAGAAGAACCUAUCACUCAAUGGGACCUAACUAUAUGUGGCACGCAGAUGGUUAUGACAAACUUAAGCCAUUCGGUUUGGCCAUUUCGGGAUGCAUAGAUGGAUUUUCACAUAAAGUAUUGUGGCUUGAAUGUGGACCAACAAAUAACAACCCAACAGUGAUUGCUCACUAUUUCACUAUGUCACCCCCAUGAGACUGAGGACUGAUUGUGGCACUGAGAAUGGCAUAAUGGCUGCAUUUCAAUGUACCCUACGCUCAUCUAUGAAUAACCAGCGUAUUGAGUCCUGGUGGUCUAUAUUUAGUAAGGGAAGGUGAGUUGUCUUCAUAAAGGGUCAUUGCAUCUUUAGUCAUUCGAUUUUUCUUCUCAGGAACGAGUGAUGAAAAAUUAGCACAAUAAAGAUCAAUAAAAAAUGUAAAACAAAUCCUUCCCGUCAGGAAAAGUAGUUGUUUCUGGAAAAAUGGAAUGACCAAAAGAUGCACAGACCAUAAAUGUCAUUACAACUAAACUUUGAUUUUAUUAUUCAAACAUGUAUAUACUUCAGAAGGACCUGGAUGAGUGUGUGAAACUGUGGAACAGUCACAGGAUUCGCCCUUCCAGAACAGCAGCAUGUCCAGGAGGAGUGCCCCAUGAACUCUACUACUUACCACACAGGUUUGGCUCCAGAGACUGUGGAUUUCAAAUUGAACAGGCUGAACUGGAUGCCCUUCCUGAGGCUAGCCUGUCAAUGACUCCUUGUGGGGACCCAAACAUGCAGGAGUACCUGGACUCUGCCAUGGAACACAAUCAGUUACAGAAGCCUGAGAACUGGGAGUCUGCAUCAGAACUGUACAUGAGACUAAAAGAAAUGGCUCAUCUAUGAAAUGAUCAAAAAGUUUUUUUCUUUAGUGGUGAAACACUGAAUUGUGUUCCCACAGGCAGCAGUGUAUAAG